rnacentral:lncRNA from 7 species
AAGAUUGAGGGGGGAAAUGCGGAGCAUGCACUGACAGUGAAGAGCUGCUGCAGGAACCCACAGCACAGGGCAUGGAGGUGUGUCUGUGCCAGAGCUGUACAAAGCUGGAGCACAGCCACAGUGUGCAGUGCUGGAGCUGAAGCCGACAAACAGCUGAGAAUAAAGAUCUUGUGGGAAACGAGGCAAGAGCUGAAAUCACUGGUGUGUGAUUAUUAUAUAGCACUGGGAGAAACAGGGCAAGACAUGAGCUGGUAAUUGAGAUCCCUGAGGGGCCACAGGGCAGAGCUGAAAUCACUGUAUGAGCUGGUAAUGCAGAUCUGCUGCUGGAACGCACAGCACAGUGUGAAGGUGCAUCUGUGAGGCAGAGCUGUGCAGUGCUGGGGCAUCUCACUGGAGUGCAGUGCUGGAGCUGAAGCAGACCAGGAGCUGAGAAUAAAGAUCUUGUGGGAAACAGGGCAAGAGCUGAAAUCACUGCUGUGUGCUUUCUAGAACGUUUUUGGGGAAAACAUUGCAAGAGCUGAAAUCAUGCGCAUGAGUUGGAAAUAAAGCGUCAUGGGGGCACAAAGGGGGAGCUCUGACAGAAUGCAACGUGUGUUUGAAAUAAAGGUUGAGGGGUGAAAUGCGGAGCAUGCACUGACAGUGCAGAGCUGCUGCUGGAACCCACAGCACCGGGCAUGGAGGUGUCUGAGCCAGAGCUGUGUGCAGCCCGAGCAUACCCAGAAAGUGCAUAGCUGGAGCUGAAACACAGGGAGCUGAGAAUAAAGAUGUGAACAGAAACUGCAAGAGCUGAAAU